rnacentral:rRNA from 1 species
AGUGAACGCUGGCGGUAGGCCUAACACAUGCAAGUCGAACGGCAGCACAGUAAGAGCUUGCUCUUACGGGUGGCGAGUGGCGGACGGGUGAGGAAUACAUCGGAAUCUACUUUUUCGUGGGGGAUAACGUAGGGAAACUUACGCUAAUACCGCAUACGACCUACGGGUGAAAGCAGGGGAUCUUCGGACCUUGCGCGAUUGAAUGAGCCGAUGUCGGAUUAGCUAGUUGGCGGGGUAAAGGCCCACCAAGGCGACGAUCCGUAGCUGGUCUGAGAGGAUGAUCAGCCACACUGGAACUGAGACACGGUCCAGACUCCUACGGGAGGCAGCAGUGGGGAAUAUUGGACAAUGGGCGCAAGCCUGAUCCAGCCAUACCGCGUGGGUGAAGAAGGCCUUCGGGUUGUAAAGCCCUUUUGUUGGGAAAGAAAGGUAGCAGGUUAAUACCCCGCUGUUCUGACGGUACCCAAAGAAUAAGCACCGGCUAACUUCGUG